rfam:Candidate division WOR_3 bacterium SM23_42 WORSMTZ_356, whole genome shotgun sequence.
GCGGGAGUAGCUCAGUGGUGGAGCAUCACCUUGCCAAGGUGAGGGUCGCGGGUUCAAAUCCCGUCUCCCGCU